CCGCCUUUACUUCCCCCUGUUUGCGGUCCUUGGCCCUCCAACUCUCGCCGCGGUCCAACAGCUAAGAAUUCGUUGGAAGGAGGCGAGAGGUAACUUCCGAGUAAGGUUAAGGGAAUUAAAUUUACCGGAAUAAUUUGGUUACGGAAAAGGAACCCAACCUAGGGUCGGAACGGGAAAGGUCCGUACUCCGUGGUACGGAACUAAAGUUUAGUCGGACCGUCUGGGAGGUCGAAGAACGCGGUGGGGAGCAAACAGGAUUAGAUACCCUGGUAGUCCACGACCGUAAACGAUGAUAACUAGCUGGUCGACGCGGC
rnacentral:rRNA from 1 species